rfam:Emiliania huxleyi CCMP1516 EMIHTscaffold_11_Cont610, whole genome shotgun sequence.
ACAUGCGACCAUAUCACCGUGGGCUACCGCUUCCCAUCCGAACAGCGAAGUCAAGCACGGUCGAGCCCAGGUAGUACUCCCAUCCGGGAGGGGGGGGGGAAGGCUGGGUGUUGCAUGUA